rnacentral:rRNA from 1 species
CAAUAGCGUAUAUUAAAGUUGUUGCGGUUAAAAAGCUCGUAGUUGGAUUUCGGCGGACAGGGGGCGGUUCGAUAUUUGUCGCUACUGCCCCAUUUGUCCGUGUUUUUGGCGGAGGUUUCAGGGUGCUCUUCACCGAGUGUCCUGGGAGGCCGUCAGGUUUACUUUGAAAAAAUUAGAGUGCUCAAAGCAGGCUUUACACGCUUGAAUAUUCGUGCAUGGAAUAAUGGAAUAGGACGUCGUUUCUAUUUUGUUGGUUUUCGGAAAUCGACGUAAUGAUUAACAGGGACAGUCGGGGGCAUUAGUAUUCAGACGACAGAGGUGAAAUUCUUGGACCGUCUGAAGACUAACUACUGCGAAAGCAUUUGCCAAGAAUGUUUUCAUUAA